AGAAACAAGAGCGUAGCGGCGAGUAGUUGAAGGCCAGCGUAUUUGACAUCCCAACUAAAUUCUGAAAUGGCCCAAGUCGUACCCCCAAAAGAUUGAGCAUUUUGUAAUGCAUAUUUUAAAUAAUGAGAUUUGUCGGUGGCUUUGUAGAGCCAUAUAGCUGCCCAUAACAACUCAUCUUUGUAACCACUCAAAGAUGGAUAGUAACCUUUGGCUGCUCCAACACUUGUAUCAUACUUGCCUCUAAACUUGUCACCAAACUCAAACAACUGUUCCGCGUGGACCAAAAGAAGCU
rnacentral:misc_RNA from 1 species